rnacentral:rRNA from 1 species
AGAGUUUGAUCCUGGCUCAGGAUGAACGCUGGCGGCGUGCUUAACACAUGCAAGUCGAACGAUGAACCUCACUUGUGGGGGGAUUAGUGGCGAACGGGUGAGUAACACGUGAGUAACCUGCCCUUGACUCUGGGAUAAGCCUGGGAAACUGGGUCUAAUACCGGAUAUGACUCCUCAUCGCAUGGUGGGGGGUGGAAAGCUUUUUGUGGUUUUGGAUGGACUCGCGGCCUAUCAGCUUGUUGGUGAGGUAAUGGCUCACCAAGGCGACGACGGGUAGCCGGCCUGAGAGGGUGACCGGCCACACUGGGACUGAGACACGGCCCAGACUCCUACGGGAGGCAGCAGUGGGGAAUAUUGCACAAUGGGCGAAAGCCUGAUGCAGCGACGCCGCGUGAGGGAUGACGGCCUUCGGGUUGUAAACCUCUUUCAGUAGGGAAGAAGCGAAAGUGACGGUACCUGCAGAAGAAGCGCCGGCUAACUACGUGCCAGCAGCCGCGGUAAUACGUAGGGCGCAAGCGUUAUCCGGAAUUAUUGGGCGUAAAGAGCUCGUAGGGCGGUUUGUCGCGUCUGCCGUGAAAGUCCGGGGCUCAACUCCGGAUCUGCGGUGGGUACGGGCAGACUAGAGUGAUGUAGGGGAGACUGGAAUUCCUGGUGUAGCGGUGAAAUGCGCAGAUAUCAGGAGGAACACCGAUGGCGAAGGCAGGUCUCUGGGCAUUAACUGACGCUGAGGAGCGAAAGCAUGGGGAGCGAACAGGAUUAGAUACCCUGGUAGUCCAUGCCGUAAACGUUGGGCACUAGGU